rnacentral:rRNA from 1 species
AUUGAACGCUGGCGGCAGGCUUAACACAUGCAAGUCGAGCGGAGAUGAGGUGCUUGCACCUUAUCUUAGCGGCGGACGGGUGAGUAAUGCUUAGGAAUCUGCCUAUUAGUGGGGGACAACAUUCCGAAAGGAAUGCUAAUGCCGCAUACGUCCUACGGGAGAAAGCAGGGGAUCUUCGGACCCUGCGCUAAUAGAUGAGCCUAAGUCGGAUUAGCUAGUUGGUGGGGUAAAGGCCUACCAAGGCGACGAUCUGUAGCGGGUCUGAGAGGAUGAUCCGCCACACUGGGACUGAGACACGGCCCAGACUCCUACGGGAGGCAGCAGUGGGGAAUAUUGGACAAUGGGGGGAACCCUGAUCCAGCCAUGCCGCGUGUGUGAAGAAGGCCUUAUGGUUGUAAAGCACUUUAAGCGAGGAGGAGGCUACUGAGACUAAUACUCUUGGAUAGUGGACGUUACUCGCAGAAUAAGCACCGGCUAACUCUGUGCCAGCCGCCGCGGUAAAAC